rnacentral:rRNA from 1 species
UACGUAGGGUGCGAGCGUUAAUCGGAAUUACUGGGCGUAAAGCGUGCGCAGGCGGCUUACUAAGACAGGUGUGAAAUCCCCGGGCUUAACCUGGGAAUGGCGCUUGUGACUGGUAGGCUAGAGUACGUCAGAGGGGGGUGGAAUUCCACGUGUAGCAGUGAAAUGCGUAGAGAUGUGGAGGAACACCGAUGGCGAAGGCAGCCCCCUGGGAUGAUACUGACGCUCAGGCACGAAAGCGUGGGGAGCAAACAGG